UUUUCAUUCCCUAAGAAUAAAUGUGUACUGAUUAAUCUCAUGGGAGAUUGUUUCAUAAGCAUGUAUCAUUACAUUAUUUUCCUUGUAAUUAAUUUGCUAAACGGAGGUGAACAAAGUAGUCCUAAACUAAAAUUUAUUUACCAUUUCUCCUUUAAAUACAAAGACAAAUAUGAUCUAUUCAUGACAUUAUACCACUGUUUCUGUUAUUUCCCAUAUUAACUUGGCGUAGUUGUUUAAAACAUUCUUUUCUUCUUUGUAGAUGAAGAAAAUAUGACAGUGAAAUAACGAUUACUAUUGAUCAGUCAUAGUUGUUUAAAAUAAUGUCUAAUGGGCUGGGUGCGGUGGUUCACACCUGUAAUCUCAGCACUUUGGGAAGCCGAGGUGGGCAGAUUAUGCGGUCAGGAGAUCAAGACCAUCCUGGCCAACAUGGUGAAACCCCAUCUCUACUAAAAUAAAAAAAAAAAAUUAGCUGGGUUUGGUGGCACACACCUGUAAUCCCAGCUACUCGGGAGGCUGUGGCUGGAGAAUCGCUUGAACCAGCAGGUGGAGGUUGCAGUGAGCCAAGAUCACGCCACUGUUCUCCAGCCUGGGCAACACAGCGAGGCUCCGUCUCCAAAAAAAAGAAAAAAAAA
ensembl:lncRNA RSF1-IT1 RSF1 intronic transcript 1